rnacentral:rRNA from 1 species
AUUGAACGCUGGCGGCAGGCCUAACACAUGCAAGUCGAGCGGGGCGGCGGACGGGCGAGUAAUGCCUAGGAAUCUGUCUGGUAUUGGGGGAUAACGUCCGGAAACGGGCGCUAAUACCGCAUACUAUCAGAUGGGCCUAGGGCGGAUUAGCUAGUUGGUGGGGUAAAGGCCUACAAAGGCAACGAUCCGUAACUGGUCUGAGAGGAUGAUAAGUCACACUGGAACGGAGACACGGUCCAGACUACUACGUGAGGCAGCAGUGGGGAAAAUUGGACUAUGGGAGAAAGCAUAAUCCAGCCAUGCCGCGUGUGUGAAGAAGGUCGUCGGGUUGGAAAGCACUUUAAGUUGGGAGGCGUUACCAACCGAAGAAGCACCGGCUAACUUCGUGCCAGCAGCCGCGGUAAUUC